AGCGAACGCUGGCGGCAGGCUUAACACAUGCAAGUCGAGCGCCGUAGCAAUACGGAGCGGCAGACGGGUGAGUAACGCGUGGGAACAUGCCCUUUGGUUUGGAAUAACUCAGGGAAACUUGAGCUAAUACCGGAUAAGCCCUACGGGGGAAAGAUUUAUCGCCGAAGGAUUGGCCCGCGUCCGAUUAGCUAGUUGGUGUGGUAAUGGCGCACCAAGGCGACGAUCGGUAGCUGGUCUGAGAGGAUGAUCAGCCACACUGGGACUGAGACACGGCCCAGACUCCUACGGGAGGCAGCAGUGGGGAAUAUUGGACAAUGGGCGCAAGCCUGAUCCAGCCAUGCCGCGUGAGUGAUGAAGGCCCUAGGGUUGUAAAGCUCUUUCGGCGGGGACGAUAAUGACGGUACCCGCAGAAGAAGCCCCGGCUAACUUCGUGCCAGCCGCCGCCGUAACAC
rnacentral:rRNA from 1 species